UGCGGAAGGAUCAUUACCGAGUGUAGGGUUCCUAGCGAGCCCAACCUCCCACCCGUGUUUACUGUACCUUAGUUGCUUCGGCGGGCCCGCCAUUCAUGGCCGCCGGGGGCUCUCAGCCCCGGGCCCGCGCCCGCCGGAGACACCACGAACUCUGUCUGAUCUAGUGAAGUCUGAGUUGAUUGUAUCGCAAUCAGUUAAAACUUUCAACAAUGGAUCUCUUGGUUCCGGCAUCGAUGAAGAACGCAGCGAAAUGCGAUAACUAGUGUGAAUUGCAGAAUUCCGUGAAUCAUCGAGUCUUUGAACGCACAUUGCGCCCCCUGGUAUUCCGGGGGGCAUGCCUGUCCGAGCGUCAUUGCUGCCCAUCAAGCACGGCUUGUGUGUUGGGUCGUCGUCCCCUCUCCGGGGGGGACGGGCCCCAAAGGCAGCGGCGGCACCGCGUCCGAUCCUCGAGCGUAUGGGGCUUUGUCACCCGCUCUGUAGGCCCGGCCGGCGCUUGCCGAACGCAAAUCAAUCUUUUCCAGGUUGACCUCGGAUCAGGUAGGGAUACCCGCUGAACUUAAGCAUAUCAAUAAGCGGAGGAAAAGAAACCAACCGGGAUUGCCUCAGUAACU
rnacentral:rRNA from 1 species